CACGAGCCCACCAGAAGGAACGAACGACUGCAGACGUGCCGCCUUAAGAGCUAUAACACUCACCUCGAAGAUCCGCAGCUUCACUCCUGAGCCAGCGAGACCAAGAACCCACCAGAAGGAAGAAACUGCCAACACAUCCGAACAUCAGAAGGAACGAGCUCCAGACACGCAGCCUUUAAGAACUGUAACACUCACUGCGAGGGUUCGCGGCUUCAUUCUUGAAGUCAGUGAGACCAAGAACCCACCAAUUCCGGACCCACUGGCAUUACAGGCGUGAAUCACUGUGUCUGGCCAAAAAGGAUCUAAUCUUAUAGCAGUGGAAUGAGGGGGAAGCCCAGCAAGGCCCAUCUGUUUGGAGUCUUCCUGGACUUCUGGGGCCUGACCCUUUUGGAACGGGGGUUUUAAGAUUCAUAAUCGACAAAGUAUUAAAGGGAGCCUAGUCUGUGUCAGCUACCAUCUGGC
rnacentral:lncRNA from 10 species